UGGGCAAUCUACCCUCGACUCUGGGAUAUGCGGCGGAAACGCCGAGUAAUACUGGACGCCGUUAGAUGGGGACAUCCCCAAUUAACGAAAGGUCCGCCGGUCGAGGAGGAGCUCAUGUCCUAUCAGCUAGUUGGUGAGGUAACGGCUCACCAAGGCGACGACGGGUAGCGGGUGUGAGAGCACGACCCGCAUCACUGGCACUGAGACACUGGCCAG
rnacentral:rRNA from 1 species